rnacentral:rRNA from 1 species
UGGCGGCAUGCCUAACACAUGCAAGUCGAACGGGGGUAGCGAUACCCUAGUGGCGGACGGGUGAGGAAUGCGUAGGAAUCUACCCACGAGAGGGGGACAACCUGGGGAAACUCAGGCUAAUACCGCAUACGCUCGUAAGAGGAAAGCGGGGGAUCUUCGGACCUCGCGCUGGUGGAAGAGCCUACGUCCGAUUAGCUGGUUGGUGAGGUAAAGGCUCACCAAGGCGACGAUCGGUAGCGGGUCUGAGAGGACGGCCCGCCACACUGGGACUGAGACACGGCCCAGACUCCUACGGGAGGCAGCAGUGGGGAAUAUUGGACAAUGGGCGCAAGCCUGAUCCAGCAAUGCCGCGUGGGUGAAGACGGCCUGCGGGUUGUAAAGCCCUUUAGGCGGGGAGGAACGACGGGACGCGAAUACCGUUUCGAAGUGACGUUACCCGCAGAAUAAGCACCGGCUAACUCCGUGCCAGCAGCCGCGGUAAUACGGAGGGUGCGAGCGUUAAUCGGAAUUACUGGGCGUAAAGCG